GACGAACGCUGGCGGCGUGCUUAACACAUGCAAGUCGAACGGAAAGGCCCUGCUUUUGUGGGGUGCUCGAGUGGCGAACGGGUGAGUAACACGUGAGUAACCUGCCCUUGACUUUGGGAUAACUUCAGGAAACUGGGGCUAAUACCGGAUAGGAGCUCCUGCUGCAUGGUGGGGGUUGGAAAGUUUCGGCGGUUGGGGAUGGACUCGCGGCUUAUCAGCUUGUUGGUGGGGUAGUGGCUUACCAAGGCUUUGACGGGUAGCCGGCCUGAGAGGGUGACCGGCCACAUUGGGACUGAGAUACGGCCCAGACUCCUACGGGAGGCAGCAGUGGGGAAUAUUGCACAAUGGGCGGAAGCCUGAUGCAGCAACGCCGCGUGCGGGAUGACGGCCUUCGGGUUGUAAACCGCUUUCGCCUGUGACGAAGCGUGAGUGACGGGAAUGGGGAAAGAAGCACCGGCUAACUACGU
rnacentral:rRNA from 1 species